rnacentral:rRNA from 1 species
GAUGAACGCUGGCGGCGUGCUUAACACACGCAAGUCGAACGAGGUCCAACCUUCGGGUGAAGACCGAGUGGCGAACGGGUGAGUAACACGUGGGGAACCUACCCUUCUCUCUGGGAUAACGUCGAGAAAUCGGCGCUAAUACCGGAUACUCCUUGCGGAUCGCAUGGUCUGCUUGGGAAAGCUCCGGCGGAGAGGGACGGCCCCGCGGCCCAUUAGCUAGUUGGUGAGGUAACGGCCCACCAAGGCGACGAUGGGUAGCCGAGCUGAGAGGCUGAUCGGCCACACUGGGACUGAGACACGGCCCAGACUCCUACGGGAGGCAGCAGUGGGGAAUCUUGCGCAAUGGGCGAAAGCCUGACGCAGCAACGCCGCGUGCGGGAUGAAGGCCCUCGGGUCGUAAACCGCUUUCAGCAGGGAUGAAACUGACAGUACCUGCAGAAGAAGCCCCGGCUAAAUACGUGCCAGCAGCCGCGGUAAUACGUAUGGGGCAAGCGUUAUCCGGAUUUAUUGGGCGUAAAGCGCGCGUAGGCGGCUUGUUAAGUCAGAUGUGAAAUCCGGGGGCUCAACCCGCGGCUUGCAUCUGAAACUGGCAGGCUUGAGUCUGGUAGAGGAAAGUGGAAUUCCUGGUGUAGCGGUGAAAUGCGCAGAUAUCAGGAGGAACACCAGUGGCGAAGGCGGCUUUCUGGGCCACGACUGACGCUGAGGCGCGAAAGCUAGGGGAGCGAACAGGAUUAGAUACCCUGGUAGUCCUAGCCGUAAACGAUGGGCACUAGGUGUGGGGGGUCAUCGACUCCCUCCGUGCCGAAGCUAACGCAUUAAGUGCCCCGCCUGGGGAGUACGGCCGCAAGGCUAAAACUCAA